AUUGAACGCUGGCGGCAGGCCUAACACAUGCAAGUCGAGCGGAGCGGCGGACGGGUGAGUAAUGCCUAGGAAUCUGCCUGGUAGUGGGGGAUAACGUCCGGAAACGGGCGCUAAUACCGCAUACUAUCAGAUGAGCCUAGGUCGGAUUAGCUAGUUGGUGGGGUAAAGGCCUACCAAGGCGACGAUCCGUGACUGGUCUGAGAGGAUGAUCAGUCAACCUGGAACUGAGAAACGGUCAAGACUCCAACGGAAGGCAUCAGUAGGCAAUAAUGGACAACGGGCGAAAGCCGGAGCCAGCCAUGCCGAGUGUGUGAAGAAGGUCCGCGGAUUGUAAAGCACUUUAAGUUGGGAGGCGUUUCCAACAGAAUAAGCACCGGCUAACUUCGUGCCAGCCGCCGCGGUAAUUC
rnacentral:rRNA from 1 species